CCUCAGCCUACAUGCAAGACUCCAUCGCAGCUUCCCUUCUGCAAAGCUGCAGAGACAGAUACCGUCACCAUGAUGUGCCAUCAACAUUUUCUGUAUUUGCUGGAUCUCCAAACAACGCGCCUCUGUUGAUUAUCUUUGAAGGCAGGCCUUGCCCUGGUUAUUCGGAAACAGGCGCUACGCCAACUAAAUGAUGGCAUUCGUCCCAAUUGGAGUUUUCGUAAAAAUAAAUAUAGAUGUUAACA